UGCAUGUCUAAGUAUAAGCGUUAUACUGUGAAACUGCGAAUGGCUCAUUAAAUCAGCUAUAGUUUCUUUGGUGGUGACCUGCUACAUGGAUAACCGUGGUAAUUCUAGAGCUAAUACAUGCGUAAAUCUCGACUCUCGAAAAGGCGUGUUUAUUAUAUAAAGACCGACCUCGUUCUGCGGUGAGUCGUGAUAACUUCACGGACCGGAUGGCUUUAUGCCGGCGGUGUUCCAUUCAUAUUUCUGCCCGAUCAACUUUCUACGGUAGGAUAGAGGCCGACCGUGGUGGUCACGGGUGACGGAGAAUUAAGGUUCGAUUCCGGAGAGGGAGCCUGAGAAGCGGCUACCACAUCCAAUGAAGGCAGCGGGCGCGCAAAUUACCCUAUCCUGACACGGGGAGGUAAUGACAAGAAAUAACAAUAUCGGGGUUUUUCUUCUCUGAUAAUUGGAAUGAGAGCAAUCUAUUUCCCUUAACUAGGAUCCAUUGGAGGGAAGGUCUGGUGCGAGCAGCCGCGGUAAUUCCAGCUCCCAUAGCGUAUAUUUAAGUUGUUGCAGGUAAUUAGCUCGUACUUGGAUUUCGGUUGAGAAGGGGCGGUCCGCCGCUUGGUGUGCGCUGGCUGGUUUCAUCUUCCUGUAAACGACGCGCUCUGGCUU
rnacentral:rRNA from 1 species